GAUGAACGCUGGCGGCGUGCCUAAUACAUGCAAGUCGAGCGAACGGACGAGAAGCUUGCUUCUCUGAUGUUAGGGGCGGACGGGUGAGUAACACGUGGAUAACCUACCUAUAAGACUGGGAUAACUUCGGGAAACCGGAGCUAAUACCGGAUAAUAUUUUGAACCGCAUGGUUCAAAGGUAAAAGACGGUCUUGCUGUCACUUAUAGAUGGAUCCGCGCUGCAUUAGCUAGUUGGUAAGGUAACGGCUUACCAAGGCAACGAUGCAUAGCCGACCUGAGAGGGUGAUCGGCCACACUGGAACUGAGACACGGUCCAGACUCCUACGGGAGGCAGCAGUAGGGAAUCUUCCGCAAUGGGCGAAAGCCUGACGGAGCAACGCCGCGUGAGUGAUGAAGGUCUUCGGAUCGUAAAACUCUGUUAUUAGGGAAGAACAUAUGUGUAAGUAACUGUGCACAUCUUGACGGUACCUAAUCAGAAAGCCACGGCUAACUACGUG
rnacentral:rRNA from 1 species